GUCACGUUGACAGCAUGAACCUUCGAUGUGAUGUGAGGAAAAUGGCAUUCUACCUCUGUGUUCUUCCUCCCCAAAAUUUGUAACCACCAUCUAAUCAUGAGGAAAACAUCAUACAAGUCCAAAUUGAGGAAGAUUCUACAAAAUGCCUGAUUAAUAUUCAUCGAAACUGUCAAGGUCAUCAAAAGCAAGGAAAGUCUGAGAAACUGCCACAGCCUAAAGACAAUCCAGGGAAACGUGAUGACUCAGUGGUAUUCGGGGUGGGUUUCUGGAACAGCAAAAGGACAACAGUGUUAACAUCUGGGCCAAACAUCUGGGCAGCAACAUCAGAAAGCCCCUCUGCUGUGCUUCAGGAUCACUCUUAUCACUGCAUAAAGGUACCCUGAGCCACUAUCUAAAUUGUCUGCUUACCUUAUGAAGACACCAUAAGGAGGUAUAACGUGUGGUGAGCACAGGUGAAGAGCUAGAGGCCUGAAACUAGAUGGGGAGGGAGAAGCCAGCCAUGCCUGCAUCCAGGGCUGCACUCAGCCUCCCAGCAUCUGUGCAGAGGCAUCAGUCAAGCCACAGCUAACUGCAGUCCCAGCUAACAUUAUGUGGAACAUCCCAGUCAUCCCAGAUCAUCCCAGUCAACCAAGAUCAUAAAAUUGUUUUCAGCUAUUAAGUUUAAAUAUGUGAAAUAAGGAGAUAAAAAUACUGACUUGGACUCUGUCUGAAUGAAAGGAUUAGUAGAUUAGAUUAGUGAUUCUUAAAAGACUUUCUUGGAUGCAUAUAAGUGUCCACAAAAUA
rnacentral:lncRNA from 10 species